rnacentral:lncRNA from 1 species
AUUCCACAGCCCCCACCCCUGCCCUCAGCCUCCUUCAAAGUGGCCGCUGGGGCUGGGGUCUGUCUUUGCAGAGGUGCCAGGCCACAUGCCCUGCCCACCUCUACCAGCUAUGCCGCCUCUGAAGUUCCUCCAGCGGCACUGAGGAGGGGCCCUGUGGUCGAGGGUGCAGUUAAACGAGGCCCGACCGGGUAGUUGAGCUCAGCUUGGCUGUACUUGUCUUCCUUGGACCUGCUGGGCACCCCCAGAGCCACAGGGGCCACCUGACAUCUCACAGGCUCAUCUACCUUCCAAGACCAGCUCAUCACUUCUGGCACCCCUCUCUAUAGUUGCCUCCCAAAGUCUCCCAUCUUAUACCCACGGCCCCCUGGGCAUCAAGCUGGACAUCUGGGAACAACCUUCAGCACCAAGUCCCCCCACCACUCAUCUGGACUUGCAAAAGUCUCCUUACUGGUCUCGCUGUCAUCCAGGAGCCAUGGUGAAUUACUUAAAAAUUCUUUUCUUCAGCGAGGCGCAGUGGCUCAUUCCUAUAAUCCCAGCACUUUGGGAGGCUGAGAAUGCAAUACAGCAAUGAGAGUGGCCAGCCACUGCUACUACAUGCAGCCCCAUGGAGGACUCUCACAGAUACAACUCUGAACGAAAGAGGCCAGGCGUGAACAGCACAGGUGGAACUGAGGAGUCCCAACCCAGGGCAGGAAGGGCACAAGAACAUCGUCCUGUUUGUGGACUCACCUGGUAGUUACCCGGAUGUGUUCACUUUUGAUAAUUUAUUAAGGAAUAUUUUUAUGAUUGGUGCACUUUCCUGUAUGCAUGUUAUAUUUCAAAAACAAGUUUUCAUGAAAAAAAAAAAAAGCAAACAAAUACAAAUGCUGUCUGCUGUCCCCUCCUGUCCUCCCAUGCCCUUGCCCUGUGCAGGCCAGCACCGCCUCCCCCUGGAUGGCUGCCCUGGCCUUCCUCUCAUGUGCUCACCUCCCCAUACCUCCCACUCCCACUCCAAAUUAUAGUCGCCAGGCUUAGCAAUAAAAGUACACAAAUGCCAAAAAAGU